AAGAACUGGUGACUUGCCCAGGUCACACUACUGGUGGGUAGCAAAACAGCAGCUAGAAUCUAUAGCUUCUGGCUUUCCAGCCAGUCCUUGUUCCACUACAUUCAUUACUUCUUUGCUGGACUGAAAAGCUUAGGACUUUUCCUGUAAGUAAUACGGAGCCAUUGAAGAUCUGAAGUUUCAAGGAAGUGGUAGGAUGGAUUCUCUUUUACUAUAAGAUGAGGAUGAGGAAGCGGAGGAUCAGAGCUUACGUGAUUGGCUCAGUAUCACACAGUACCACACAAUAAACGAUGAGGAGAUUCUGGCUCACAGAGGUGAAGUGAUCUGCUCAAGAUGAAAUAGCCAGCUGGUGAAAUUACUGAGACAAGCACUCAGGUUGUGAGGGAAGAAGUUGCCUCUUCUCAUGGGUGCUUUCCCGUUGGUGCCCAGUGGACAGGCUUCCACAGCCUCUCAUGGUAUUUGUCAGAUGAAUGAACAAAUGAAAAGAGAAAAGAACACACUGAAGAGUUCUGUCGCAGCUGAGGCUGCCCUGG
rnacentral:lncRNA from 1 species